UGCUUUUAAUUUUACAUUAGAAAGCCUUCCUUCAUUUUCUCUUUUCAAAUUUGUUUCUCCUUUACAUCAGAUCAAUAUUUAUUUUUCCUUUAAUCGAAAUGUAUCAUUUAAUUUCACUAGAAAUUUUUCUUGCUUGGCAGCUAAUAAGUCUUCUUUUCUUCUUCCUACCUUUUGUUUUCUUAAUCUUUAUCUUAAUUGUCCUUUUUUCUAUGGGUGGUUAAAAAGAUGUCUUCAAGCAUUCGUCUAUUUUCUCUUCUAAGUGCGUAACUCGUCUAUUUUCUCUUCUAAGUGUGCCCUAUCUGUUCUAAAUUUUUGUCCUUUAUAUCAGAUCAAUAAUCAAUUUUUCCUAUCCUUGAAGUUUAUCAUUAAAGUUAUCUAGAAAUAACUCUUGCUGAGCUGCAAAAUGGUUCAUCUUUUCUUCCCUUUUUUUGUUUUCUUAAUUUUCAUCUUAAUCGCCCGUUUUCUAUUGGAAGUUAGAAUAACGUCUUCCAGCACUCAGUGCUUGUUCAUUUCCUUCUCUAAGUGUGCACUUUCUUUUCCAUUGUUUUUGCCCCUAACAUCAAAUCAAUAUUUAUUUUUCCUAUCCUUGAAGUUUAUCAUUUGAAUUUUUUUAGGAUUAAUUCUUGCUGAGCUGCAGAAAGGACUUCUUUCAUUUUCUCUUUUUUGGUCUCCCAAUUUUUAUCUUAAUCGCCCUUUUUCUAUUAAAAGUUAAAAUAACGUCUUCCAUCACUCAGUGCUUGUUCAUUUUCUCCCUUCAGAGUGUCCUCUUUUUUCCUAUUUUUGUCCCCUACAUCACAUCAAUAUUUGUUUUUUCCCACCUAUGAAGUUUAUCAUUUAGGUUCUUUAGAAUUAAUUCUUGCUGAGCUGCAAAAAGGUCCUCUCUCAUUUUCUCAACUUUUUGUUUUCUCAAUUUUUAUCGUAGUCGUCCUUUUUAUGAGAAAAUAAAAAACUCUUUUCAGCACUCGUCACUCAUUUGUUUUCUCCUCUAAAUGUGCCAUUCUUUUUCCAAUUCUUUUGUACUUUACUAUAUAUUAAUAUUGUUUCCUAUCCUUGAAGUUUAUCAUUUAAUUUCAUUAGAAAUUAUUCUUGCUUAGCUGCUAACAAGCUCUUCUUUCCUUCUCCCUAUUUCUUGUUUUCUUAAUAUUUAUCAUUAUUGUCCUAUUUUCUAUGGGAGGGUAGAUGGAUGUCCUCCAGCACUCAUUACUUGUUUAUAUUCUCCUCUUCGUAAACCCCCUCUUUUCUUAUCGAUUUAUCCCUCACUUCAGAUAAUUAUUUCAUAUUUCUUAUCUGUUAUGAAGAUGUGUUUAUGAUUUUUUUCAAUAUUCACUUAAAUUGUCCUUUUUAACAGAAAGUUAUUUGUCCUUCAAUUAUCCAUUUCAAAUUGUCACAGUUAUUUGUCAUUUUUAAACUAAACUACCCGUGGUUGUUUCUUGUUUACAUUUUGGCUUAUUUAAUUCUUUUACUAGCUUUAGUGAUUGAUUUCCUUUCUCAAUUUUAUGACAAUUAUCUUAUCUUGGAGUAAAUUCCUUGCAUCAAAUACGCCUGGAAAUGGAACUAUUUAAUAUGUAUUUUUAUGAAAGAACAGUUUUGUUGAAUCGCUAAAUUAUGUAUACAUAUAAACUUUCUAUAUACUGUCAGUAACAGGAUUUCAUUUCUUUCCACAGCAAUAAAAGACCAUGGAUUUAAUACUGAUCUGGAAUGAACGAGACAAAGCAAAACAAGAGAUUGCGACUUGAGACCUGCCUUCUUCAUGUACAUGUUUGGUUUCACCCGCUCUCUCUGGGUUAUGUUGAAUAACUUUCAAGUGGUACAAACUACAUCCACAAAAUUUUUAUCUAGAAAAUGUUGGAGGAGGAGCAUGGUCUUGUAAGCGAUGGCAGUCUACGAUCGAGCUUCGACAUCACUUCCACCCAAUGAACAAUACGAGAUAUUCAACAUCUAUAUUAAAAGAGCUGCCGAGAUAUUUGGGGUCACACAUACGAGAGAUAUCUACGAAAAAGCAAUUGAAGCUUUACCAAAUGAAUUUGCGGUUGACUACGAGUCGUCGUACUAAGAAGUAGAAGGGAAGACAGCAAAGGAAUUCUUGAGCAGCAAUCAUGUGCCAGCGAUGAAUACAAAGCCUACAUAGCUGCAAAAUCUGCUUGAUAACAAAAGUAGCGGUAUUGGUUUUUGUUUAGGUUUGGCAUAUUUGAAAGCAUAACUUGACACUUUUACAAACUAAAGAAAAACCCCAGAUUGUUAGCCAGUUGUUGAUUCAGUGAAGUUAAAACAUCCCACAAGAGGCAGCUUUAUUUCAAACAGCAUAGCUCCUGAAACAAAGCCAAUUGAAUAGACAAUAUAGAAAUAGGCGUUUCUGACCAUCCCUUAAGAACACGCCCUUUUCAGUCCAAGUUACAAUAAACACAAGACUUAUCCAAGUGACCGAUUAGGCCUCGGUUACAGAAGACAAGCUCCAGAAAGAUCAGAGAUUCAAAAAGUGACUUUAAGUUGACUUCCCAUCGGUAUUAUUAGCGAGUGAGACCCUUAUAAAGGUUCGUUUAAUAGCGCAUUUUAUGAGAUUGGAUGAGAGACUGGUAGCAAAUGUUGAUAGAAAUAUGUAUAAAAGUUGUUUGAGUACUCUGUGACAAUAUAUAAAAGAGUGUACAACAUUUUCAUUAAAGAUCGGGGAAUCUACAUAUUUUCAAAAUGUGCUAGAUCAAAUAAUUUUAAGGGGACCACGCUCGUGAAAUGUGCGUAAAUUUGAAACAGGGGUGUAUGACCACUCUUUCUGAAGGGAGGGGUAAUAUUUCUGUAAUUCACAGCAAAAAACUGCGUUGACCGCUGAUGAAUGUAGUGUUUGGUUGUAGGGUGUUGUAAACGUAUAUAAGAUGCUAACUAAAAGUAUCUAUUUAUUCCUUAAAGUUGUUAUUAAAUUUUUCAACAUUUUGCUUAAACUGGUUAGACUUAAAGGCUUUUAUACUUUUUGUAGUGGCGUUCCCAUAUUCAGUUAGACACCUUAUGAUUACCAGCGUAGAUUCAUUCUACGUUCUCAUCUAAACGUGAUCUCCUUUUACGUUCUACCUUGUAAACAACUAGCUACUCUGGCAAGGGGAAUCAUUGGCAAAGUGAGGCUUUAGAAAUCUGCUAUUGAAUUUCCUUUGUCAAAGGCGAGAAGUCUUUGUGCAGCUAAAUUCGGUUGAAACAUAUUUUUUGUUGCUUAGUUAUUUAAUCGAUUUAAUUGUGCAUUUGUAAAAUUGUUAUUUGAAUUAUGAACUUCUGCCUAGAA